GAAUAGUGUCAACAAUCAAUAGAGAAGAGCAGAGCACUGGUAGAUUUAUGGCUUUGAUUUUGAAAAGGUAUGGGAAUGCCCGGUGAUGUUUCUCUGCUUCCCCCCCCCCCCCACCGGACUCCUUUUGAAUGUUAAUGCUUUCUUGAAGAUGAUUUCCGACUCACUGCUAGGAUACUGCCUCUACUCACUGAAGCAGAAUCCUCUGAAGAGUUGCGGAGGCAGAACUGAAAUCAUGGCUUGCCACAAAGCAGCAGCUGUAUUGGCCGCUAAUGAUGCCUCACACAGAAAGACGAUGCUCCUUUAACUCGGGGGUUUUAAUGGGAAGUUUCUAAGGCUGAAACGACGGCUUUAGAUCUGGGGUGUGCCAUCAGCGGCUUGCAGAUACCACUGUCUCCUGCCUCAACACAGCCUGGUCGGGAAGAAUGGAAACUAAAGAGGCUUGUAACUACCUGUAACUGUUCCACCAGGAAAUGGAUCAAGUGUUUGUUCAGCCAGAUUCAGAUAACUCAGCAUCUCCACGGCGCAGCCACCAUGAUCUCAGCAGACUGAUGAUGGAAGAAAAGGAAACUGGGAGAUCCCGUGCUCCUGCUUCUCCGGACGAUGGAUGGAGGACAGCCCGUCCCUUCACCCCUAGUGCCCCUUGAGAACGUGUCGGCAGAUUCUAGCAUGUCUCUAGAGCAGAAAACCACAUUUGUGUUUGUGAUUUUGUUGUUCAUUUUCUUGGGCAUCCUCAUUGUCAGGUGCUUCCGGAUCCUUCUGGACCCAUAUCGGAGCAUGCCGACCUCAACCUGGGCCGAUGGACUUGAAGGACUGGAGAAGGGGCAGUUUGACCAUGCCCUUGCUUAGCAGAGGGGGGCAGGAGCCCCUCCUGAGGAGGUGAAGUGCGGCAUGUCUUGGUGAGGAAUUCCCUUUAGUCAGUGUUCUCAACAAACCAAGUUUUAACAGCACCUGGUCCUAGACUUCCAGUCCCUCAUUUAUUAAACAUGCUGUUAGGUUAAAAGCAUUUGAAGGAUAUU